UACAGAGGUCCCAAGCGUUGUUCGGAUUCAUUGGGCGUAAAGGGUGCGUAGGCGGCGCGGUAAGUCGGGUGUGAAAUCUCGGAGCUUAACUCCGAAACUGCAUUCGAUACUGCCGUGCUUGAGGACUGGAGAGGAGACUGGAAUUUACGGUGUAGCGGUGAAAUGCGUAGAUAUCGUAAGGAAGACCAGUGGCGAAGGCGGGUCUCUGGGACGUGACUGACGCUGAGACGCGAAAGCGUGGGGAGCGAACAGG
rnacentral:rRNA from 1 species